CAGCCUGGGGGAGAGAGACAAACCCCAGCAUGUUAGAAAGGCUCCGGGUGCCAUCGCAGCGACAACGACCCAGGGACACACCCAGGAACACAUCCCCGUGUUCUCCUUAAAACAUCACAGAACAUAACCUGGAUGCUCCACAGCACUGUCUAAAAACCACCAAGGGCUUUGUGUAGCAAGGACAGCCUGGUCUUGCAGGAUGCUGCUGCUGGAAACAACCCCAUAGGAAGAGCUUUUUAGGGAUAUGUCGCUUCCAGGAUCAUAAAUUGGUCCUUCUCCCUGUUUCCCAAGACCUUCCAGGGCACUUGCACAUUGCUGUAAUACAUAAUUAUAAAGCCACCAGGCACUGGGUGCUGUGGGAACCCAGAGCAGUGGAGGACCCACAGGACUGGGAUUUUUGCCUGUUUAAAUGGGUCGCCACUCUCUCCCACUGCAGCACUGGGAUUUCCUGGGAUGGGGAUUGGCUCUUCCCGCUUGCUCCCUGCAUCCCUCCCUCCCCAGCCAGGGACCAGGCAGAGAAACACCCCUUCUUGCACUAACCGCCCCGCUUCACUUGAGGAAAAAUAAAAACACAGAGUUUUUUCCUCCUUUUUCCCUUGCAAAACCACUUCCAGAAUCCCUGCGGAAGAGCAGAGAGGAAAAUUCCCCCAUUUCCCACAGGACACGCCGACAUUCCGACCACCAACGUUGUGGCUGAUGCAAGCGCGGGACCGAAUGUGUGUGGAGAAGACCCAGGCAGUGGAUGGAUGCGUGGGAGGAGACCGACCAGGCUGAUGGCCCAAUCCCAGAGCAUCCUUCCCAGGCAGAAGUGAUGAGCUCCGAAGUCCGGCGGCGCUGCCCGGCACCCUUGGGAUGAUAAGCUGGUCAAGGCCAGUGCUGGCUCUGUUCUGCUGACGAGCUGUGGUGGCGUUUGUGCCGAGGGACCCGGCGCCGCUCUGGGAACGGAUGGGAGCGAAACCCACGGCGCAGCAGCAGGAAUAACGCAAGAAUUCCAGACUUUACAGCUCCCACAGCGACGCAACCCGAGCUCAAACGUUGGUUUUACUCCCAAAGGCUUGGGAGACUUUAGUCUGAACUCCCUGUGUGACCAAAUUCCUGCUCCUUUUGCUCCCUUCCUCCUCCUGGUGGAGGUGUCUCCUGGAUGGACAACGCGAGCACCUCCCACCGCGCCCAGUGAACUGACGGAUGCUCCAGCCAAGAACCCACCCAUGGACUCAUUCCAAAUUCACAGGAUAAUUUAGGCUGGAAAAGCCCUUUAAGAUCACUGAUUCCAGCAGCAGUGACCAUCAAACGCCUCCUGCCUUGCUCUCCUCCACUGACCCAGCCGGUGACGCCCCAUUGUCCAGCUCCAAAGAGCCUUUUCUCCCUGUUCCUAAGGAAACAGGCAGCGUUGUUCAAACAAGGCCACACACCAGGCAAACCCCUCCCCCUAAAUACAACCUAAAGCACUUUAUACAGAUGACCUAAAGCACUUCAUCCAGGCACAACAGGAGAAGGCAGCUGCUGAAUUUACCCCCGGAGAGAGGGAAGCAACAGCUCUGCCGGGAGCUCCUUUGGAGCACGAGAUGAGCAACCCACCCCCACGACUCCACACUACAGCCACGAUGCUCUGCUGGGUCAAAGGUUUCUGGAGUCAGCUAGAAAACAUCUGGGUUUGCUUCGUGGCACUGAUUUCCCUCUUGAAAAUGAUGGGAUGGUCCCCAGGGCAACCCUCCCGUGGGGCAGGAGAGGGGGCAGAGGGAGCAACUUCAGAGAACACAGAGCACUGGGAAAAGGAAAGGCUUUCACAUUAUUAUUACUGUUAUUAUUGUUAUUAUUAUGUACAGCUUUCCCCAUCAUUUACCAGGGCUGCAAACCAGAUGUGCAUCAGCAUCCCUUCAAUUUACAUCAAAGCACCCAGAUGAGGAAGAAUCAGAGAAUCCCAGACUGGUUUGGGUUGGAAGGACCUUAAAGCCUAUCCCAUCCCACCCCCUGCCACGGGCAGGGCCACCUUCCACUAGCCC